rnacentral:lncRNA from 1 species
AAUGGGAUUUGAGACCCUCACUUGGGCCCCAUCUCCCUUUCAGGCACUGGGGGGGGUGUGAAACCCCAGAAGCCAGGGUUUGGAAACGGGCUGGCAAUGGGGACCUUCCCAGGUGCUGUCGCCCAGCCAGGUUUUGGAGGGGGUGUGAGACCCCAGAAGCCAGGCCCUGUGGCUCAGAAUGGUGGCCAGGCACCAGGACUCGGCAAUGGGAAUGGGAUGGGACUCGGAGCCCAGCCAGGAUUCGGGAAUGGGAACGGGCUGGGAGGUGGCGCCUUCCCGGGAGUAGGAGCCCAACCAGGUCCUGCAACUCAAAAUGGCUACAGACCAGGCUUUGGAGGGGGUAUGAAGCCCCAGAAACCAGGGCUCGGGAACGGCAAUGGCUUGGGAGCCCAGCCAGGCCUAGUGACCCAGAAUGGAUAUGGAGCAGGCUUGGGGGGGGCCACGAAGCCCCAGAAACCAGGAUUUGGGAAUGGCGACGGGCUGGGAGGCCAGCCAGGUGAGACUGGUGGGGUCUGGGUGGUACAAGUCUGGGCAUCCUCUCCUGCUUCCCUGGCGGCCUGGCAGGAGGGCGGGUUAGCCUGGGAGCAGCUGGCCUCCAGGCUGGGCUCUGAAGGGGGACCACAGGCGGUUCCCCCACCUGAGCCAGCCCCAACCCCCUGCUCAUCCCUCCUCCCCGCACGGGCCCUCCAGCUCCCAGAGGCUGCAGAGCAGGUACUGAGGGGAGAAGAGAGAAGGGCCUGGCGGGGAGCACUGGUCCUCACCCAGGCCCUGUUGGGGGCGGGGUUUCCUGCCAGACUAGGUGGGGGCGGGGCUUCCUGACAGACUAGGUG